rnacentral:rRNA from 1 species
AUUGAACGCUGGCGGCAUGCCUAACACAUGCAAGUCGAACGGCAGCACGGGUGCUUGCACCUGGUGGCGAGUGGCGAACGGGUGAGUAAUACAUCGGAACAUGUCCUGUAGUGGGGGAUAGCCCGGCGAAAGCCGGAUUAAUACCGCAUACGAUCUACGGAUGACAGCGGGGGACCUUCGGGCCUCGCGCUAUAGGGUUGGCCGAUGGCUGAUUAGCUCGUUGGUGGGGUAAAGGCCUACCAAGGCGACGAUCAGUAGCUGGUCUGAGAGGACGAGCAGCCACACUGGGACUGAGACACGGCCCAGACUCCUACGGGAGGCAGCAGUGGGGAAUUUUGGACAAUGGGCGAAAGCCUGAUCCAGCAAUGCCGCGUGUGUGAAGAAGGCCUUCGGGUUGUAAAGCACUUUUGUCCGGAAAGAAAUGCUUGGCCCUAAUACGGUCGGGGGAUGACGGUACCGGAAGAAUAAGCACCGGCUAACUACGUG